GUCUAUGGCCAUUCCACCCUGAACAAGCCUAAUGUCUUAUCUUGGAAGCUAAGCAGAGUCGGGCCUGGUUAGUACUUAGAUGGGAGACCACAUGGGAAGACCAGGUGCUAUAGACA
rnacentral:rRNA from 1 species